rnacentral:rRNA from 1 species
UACGGAGGGUGCAAGCGUUAAUCGGAAUCACUGGGCGUAAAGCGCGCGUAGGCGGCUCGCUAAGUCGGAUGUGAAAGCCCCGGGCUCAACCUGGGAACUGCAUUCGAUACUGACGGGCUCGAGUCCGGUAGAGGGGGGUGGAAUUCCAGGUGUAGCGGUGAAAUGCGUAGAGAUCUGGAGGAACACCGGUGGCGAAGGCGGCCCCCUGGACCGAGACUGACGCUGAGGUGCGAAAGCGUGGGGAG